rnacentral:sRNA from 1 species
AUCGAGCACGCCGUGACGCCUGUCAAU